AGUGAACGCUGGCGGUAGGCCUAACACAUGCAAGUCGAACGGCAGCACAGUAAGAGCUUGCUCUUACGGGUGGCGAGUGGCGGACGGGUGAGGAAUACAUCGGAAUCUACUUUUUCGUGGGGGAUAACGUAGGGAAACUUACGCUAAUACCGCAUACGACCUACGGGUGAAAGCAGGGGAUCUUCGGACCUUGCGCGAUUGAAUGAGCCGAUGUCGGAUUAGCUAGUUGGCGGGGUAAAGGCCCACCAAGGCGACGAUCCGUAGCUGGUCUGAGAGGAGGAUCAGCCACACUGGAACUGAGACACGGUCCAGACUCCUACGGGAGGCAGCAGUGGGGAAUAUUGGACAAUGGGCGCAAGUCUGAUCCAGCCAUACCGCGUGGGUGAAGAAGGCCUUCGGGUUGUAAAGCCCUUUUGUGGGGAAAGAAAAGCAGCAGGUUAAUACCCCGCUGUUCUGACGGUACCCAAAGAAUAAGCACCGGCUAACUUCGUG
rnacentral:rRNA from 1 species